rnacentral:lncRNA from 10 species
AGAAGAGCCAAGUCUAGACCUUGCCCUUUGAAUGCCUUCAGCAUUCCUUGAAGAUAUCCAAGAAAGAUGCAGUCCACCCUCCAAGUAUUGAUUUCUAAUCUCAGGAAAAAGGAAACCAUUAAAGAACAUAAUCCUACAAAAGGAAAAAGUGCGCCAAGAAAAGUGAAGGAUGUGGAAAUCCAGAAAUGGAGAUCAUAAGGUGAUGGUGAAGAAAUAUUUCAGGAUGUCAACUGCACAGCAGCCCUAAAGACCGCAUCAAAACAGGGUGAUGGAGGGAUCCGGCAGGAAGGUCUUUAGAGAAAAAAAAAACGGAACAAAGAAAUUAUAUGUUUGAGUUUUGGAAAAGCUGUCAGUGGGCACUGGCAGAUCUAAUGGAUAAAAUUAAGGUGAGACUCAAAAACUGCAGCUGAAAAACAACAACCAAAUAAAACAUUGUAUGAGAAAG